GGCGGGGUAGCUCAGUUGGUGAGAGCGCAGGAUUCAUAACCCUGAGGUCGCUGGUUCAAGUCCAGCUCCCGCUACCA
rnacentral:tRNA from 2 species